UACGUAGGUGGCGAGCGUUAUCCGGAAUGAUUGGGCGUAAAGGGUGCGUAGGUGGCAGAUCAAGUCUGGAGUAAAAGGUAUGGGCUCAACCCGUACUGGCUCUGGAAACUGAUCAGCUAGAGAACAGAAGAGGACGGCGGAACUCCAUGUGUAGCGGUAAAAUGCGUAGAUAUAUGGAAGAACACCGGUGGCGAAGGCGGCCGUCUGGUCUGAAUUCUGACACUGAAGCACGAAAGCGUGGGGAGCAAAUAGG
rnacentral:rRNA from 1 species